AUUGAACGCUGGCGGCAGGCCUAACACAUGCAAGUCGAGCGAGCGGCGGACGGGUGAGUAAUGUAUGGGGACUGCCCGAUAGAGGGGGAUAACUACUGGAAACGGUAGCUAAUACCGCAUACUAUCGGCUAACCCAUAUUGGAUUAGCUAGUAGGUGGGGUAAUGGCUCACCUAGGCGACGAUCCCUAGCUGUUCGGAGAGGAUGAUCCGCCACACGGGGACUGAGACACGGCCCAGACUCCUACGGAGGAAGCAGUGGGGAAUAUUGCACAAUGGGCGCAAGCCUGAUGCAGCCAUGCCGCGGGUAUGAAGAAGGCCCUAGGGUUGUAAAGUACUUGUGGCAGAGAAGCGGUAUCUGCAGAAUAAGCACCGGCUAACUACGUGCCAGCCGCCGCGGUAAUAC
rnacentral:rRNA from 1 species